UUGGAAGAAAAACAGAUAAAGUAUUAUGGCCUCUAGAAAGUAAAACAGUCAAAACAGUCAAUAAAUUGUUGGCAGAAAACUAAUUUUAAAAUCGAGCAAAAUGUUUCAAAUAAUAUGAGGUGUUGGACCUGUCUUUUCUGGGAGGUUACCUUUGAUUUUUGAGUGGGAAUAGUCGAGAACCUCCUUUGUUGUAUGAAUGCCAAUGAGACAACUCUCCAUCCAAGUCACAAUUUAUAAAAGUAAACCAUUAUAGAUCAAAGGACAGCCUUCAGCACAUAGCCUUGGCUCACACAGAACAGCAAGCUAUAAAGGGCCC
rnacentral:lncRNA from 1 species